rnacentral:rRNA from 1 species
UGGGGAAUCUUGGACAAUGGGGGAAACCCUGAUCCAGCAACGCCGUGUGAGCGAUGAAGGUCUUCGGAUUGUAAAGCUCUGUCACUUGGGAAGAAACUCGUAAGCAUCAGAUCCUUACGAUUGACGGUACCGAGAGAGGAAGCACCGGCUAACUCUGUGCCAGCAGCCGCGGUAAUACAGAGGGUGCAAGCGUUAUUCGAAAUUAUUGGGCGUAAAGCGCGAGCAGGCGGCGAUGUAAGUCUUGUGUGAAAUCUUCGGGCUCAACCCGAAAAAGUCAUGAGAAACUGCAUUGCUAGAGUAGAUGAGAGGAGAGCGGAAUUCCCAGUGUAGUGGUGAAAUACGUAGAUAUUGGGAGGAACACCGGUGGCGAAAGCGGCUCUCUGGCAUCUCACUGACGCUCAUUCGCGAAAGCGUGGGGAUCAAACAG